rnacentral:rRNA from 1 species
UGGGGAAUAUUGCACAAUGGGCGCAAGCCUGAUGCAGCAACGCCGCGUGAGGGAAGACGGUUUUCGGAUUGUAAACCUUUGUCUUUGGUGAAGAAGAAAGUGACGGUAACCAAGGAGGAAGCCACGGCUAACUACGUGCCAGCAGCCGCGGUAAUACGUAGGUGGCAAGCGUUGUCCGGAAUUACUGGGUGUAAAGGGAGCGCAGGCGGGACUGCAAGUUGGAUGUGAAAUACCGAGGCUCAACCUCGGAGCUGCAUCCAAAACUGUAGUUCUUGAGUGAAGUAGAGGUAGGCGGAAUUCCGAGUGUAGCGGUGAAAUGCGUAGAUAUUCGGAGGAACACCAGUGGCGAAGGCGGCCUACUGGGCUUUAACUGACGCUGAGGCUCGAAAGUGUGGGGAGCAAACAGG